UUUAAUCCCAGUGGUUAACUCUACUGUGCUUCACUUUGUGACUCAAGCAAGACUUUUUUUCAGCUGAUAGCACUUGCAACAAUGAGAACAUACCUGUGUCUGGCUGUGCUGCUUUGUGCAGUGCUGUCAGUGGCAAAUGGUCAAUGCUCUGCUAAAUUGUUAGACCCAGACGCAACACAUUGUCAGGAUGAAAUUGAUAACACAUGGCAUGCGGUGGGAUCAAAGUGGAGAAAUAGUGUUUGCAUGGAUUGUACCUGCACCCGCUGCUGCAUUGCGUAUGGCACUCCCCGCGGAGUCCCUGAUGACUGCGUGUCAGUAUUGGACAAACAAGCAUGUGUAUAUAGAGUGCACAAGUGGUAUGACCCAUCUAUUGAAUGCCCAAUUACUGGCAUGGUAGGAAAGUGAUGUGGGACUCAGCAAUGGCAUAUACCACUUACGAUACAUUUUACAAUAUGAAUUUGCACAUAAAGUCAAAAGUGAAAUAAAAUGUGAAUAAAACAAAA